GGAAAGAUGGCUGAGUGGCCGAAAGCACAUCCCUGCUAAGGAUGCGUACCCCUAUAGGUACCGUGGGUUCAAAUCCCACUCUUUCCG
rnacentral:tRNA from 2 species